GACGAACGCUGGCGGCGUGCUUAACACAUGCAAGUCGAACGGAAAGGCCCUGCUUUUGUGGGGUGCUCGAGUGGCGAACGGGUGAGUAACACGUGAGUAACCUGCCCUUGACUUUGGGAUAACUUCAGGAAACUGGGGCUAAUACCGGAUAGGAGCUCCUGCUGCAUGGUGGGGGUUGGAAAGUUUCGGCGGUUGGGGAUGGACUCGCGGCUUAUCAGCUUGUUGGUGGGGUAGUGGCUUACCAAGGCUUUGACGGGUAGCCGGCCUGAGAGGGUGACCGGCCACAUUGGGACUGAGAUACGGCCCAGACUCCGACGGGAGGCAGCAGUGGGGAAUAUCGCACAAUGGGCGGAAGCCUGAUGCAGCAACGCCGCGUGCGGGAUGACGGCCUUCGGGUUGUAAACCGCUUUCGCCUGUGACGAAGCGUGAGUGACGGUAAUGGGUAAAGAAGCACCGGCUAACUACGU
rnacentral:rRNA from 1 species